UACGUAGGGUGCAAGCGUUGUCCGGAAUUACUGGGCGUAAAGAGCUCGUAGGCGGUUUGUCGCGUCGUCUGUGAAAACUCGAGGCUCAACCUCGAGCUUGCAGGCGAUACGGGCAGACUUGAGUACUGCAGGGGAGACUGGAAUUCCUGGUGUAGCGGUGGAAUGCGCAGAUAUCAGGAAGAACACCCGUGGCGAAGGCGGCUCUCUGGGACGUUAC
rnacentral:rRNA from 1 species